rnacentral:rRNA from 1 species
CUGGCGGUCUGCUUAACACAUGCAAGUCGAACGCAACCUUCGGGUUGAGUGGCGGACGGGUGAGUAACGCGUGAGAAUCUGCCUUGGGGUCGGGGACAACCACUGGAAACGGUGGCUAAUACCGGAUAAGCCUUUGGGUAAAAGAUUUAUUGCCCCAAGAGGAGCUCGCGUCUGAUUAGCUAGUUGGUGAGGUAAAAGCUCACCAAGGCAGCGAUCAGUAGCUGGUCUGAGAGGACGAUCAGCCACACUGGGACUGAGACACGGCCCAGACUCCUACGGGAGGCAGCAGUGGGGAAUUUUCCGCAAUGGGCGAAAGCCUGACGGAGCAAGACCGCGUGAGGGAGGAAGGCUCUUGGGUUGUAAACCUCUUUUCUCAGGGAAGAAGCUCUGACGGUACCUGAGGAAUCAGCCUCGGCUAACUCCGUGCCAGCAGCCGCGGUAAUACGGAGGAGGCAAGCGUUAUCCGGAAUUAUUGGGCGUAAAGCGUCCGCAGGUGGCGAUUCAAGUCUGCUGUCAAAGCACGGGGCUUAACUCCGUUAAGGGCAGUGGAAACUGAAUAGCUAGAGUGCCGUAGGGUUAGAGGGAAUUCCCGGUGUAGCGGUGAAAUGCGUAGAGAUCGGGAAGAACAUCGGUGGCGAAAGCGCUCUACUGGACGGCAACUGACACUCAGGGACGAAAGCUAGGGGAGCGAAUGGAUUAGAUACCCCAGUAGUCCUAGCUGUAAACGAUGGAUACUAGGUGUAGCUUGUAUCGACCCGAGCUGUGCUCGAAGCUAACGCGUUAAGUAUCCCGCCUUGGGGAGUACG